AGUACCCGCUGAACUUAAGCAUAUCAAUAAGCGGAGGAAAAGAAACCAACAGGGAUUGCCUUAGUAGCGGCGAGUGAAGCGGCAAAAGCUCAAAUUUGAAAUCUUCGGAGUUGUAAUUUGUAGGACUAUCUUUGAAAAUGCUUGGGUUCCACUAAGUUCACUGGAACGGACGCCAGAGAGGGUGAUAGCCCCGUUUUGGGACCCGCUGUUCUCAAUACAAGAUAGAUCCGACGAGUCGAGUUGUUUGGGAAUGCAGCUCAAAGUGGGUGGUAAAUUCCAUCUAAAGCUAAAUAACGGCGAGAGACCGAUAGCGAACAAGUACAGUAAUGGAAAGAUGAAAAGCACUUUGAAAAGAGGGUGAAAAGGCGUGAAAUUGUUGAAAGGGAAGGGUUUGUGCGCAAACCACCCGUCUUGAAACACGGACCAAGGAGUCUAAUGUUUUUGCGAGUGCAAGGGUUUAUUAAACCUGGAGCGUAGUGAAGGCGAGCUUAACACCGAGCUUCGAGUAAGCAGAAACAUUGGGACCCGAAAGAUGGUGUACUAUGCCUGAGUAGGGUGAAGCCAGAGGAAACUCUGGUGGAGGCUCGCAGCGGUUCUGACGUGCAAAUCGAUCGUCGAACUUGGGUAUAGGGGCGAAAGACUAAUCGAACCAUCUAGUAGCUGGUUCCUGUCGAAGUUUCCCUCAGGA
rnacentral:rRNA from 1 species